rnacentral:rRNA from 1 species
CCUGCCCAAGAGAUCGGGAUAACACCUGGAAACAGAUGCUAAUACCGGAUAACAACAGAUGAUGCCUAUCAACUGUUUAAAAGAUGGUUCUGCUAUCACUCUUGGAUGGACCUGCGGUGCAUUAGCUAGUUGGUAGGGUAACGGCCUACCAAGGCGAUGAUGCAUAGCCGAGUUGAGAGACUGAUCGGCCACAUUGGGACUGAGACACGGCCCAAACUCCUACGGGAGGCAGCAGAUC